rnacentral:tRNA from 1 species
GCAGUGGUGAUUCACUGGUAGAAUUCUCGCCUUCCACGCAGGAGAUCCCGGUUCAAUACCCAGCCAGUGCA